UACGAAGGGGGCUAGCGUUGCUCGGAAUCACUGGGCGUAAAGGGUGCGUAGGCGGGUCUUUAAGUCAGAGGUGAAAUCCUGGAGCUCAACUCCAGAACUACCUUUGAUACUGAGGAUCUUGAGUUCGGGAGAGGUGAGUGGAACUGCGAGUGUAGAGGUGAAAUUCGUAGAUAUUCGCAAGAACACCAGUGGCGAAGGCGGCUCACUGGCCCGAUACUGACGCUGAGGCACGAAAGCGUGGGGAGCAAACAGG
rnacentral:rRNA from 1 species